AGCUUUAUAGUCAAUAAUGAUAUUAGACUGCAAUUCUAAAGGAGUAAUAUUUUACUAAAGCUU
rnacentral:tRNA from 1 species